UGUCUCAACCAGCACGCCUGGCUCUCUGGGGACGCGGGCCGCCGGGAACGGUUGCUAAGCAGUCAUCGCGAACGUACUUCACUCUUUCAUGAACAGCGCGAGCGUUCUGCACCGCGGCUUGGAUCCCGCACGCAUGCGUGACAGGCUCCGACCCUCCGCGGGUCCCCCGGAGGGAACGCAUCGCGACACCUGGCUGCGCCGCCGCGACUGGUGUCACUUCCCGUGCAUGGAAAUCGCGCUGGCACGAUUUUGAAACCGGUUUACGACCGAAUCGAAAGGUUUGCGAGCAAUUAAGGGUUAUUUAUUUGCACCCCUCUCUCUCCAGUACAUGCAUGCCACAUGUUCCUCCACAGGCGCGGAGAGACAGACAGACAGACACUCAUAAACUUGUGCGUCUCCGUGCGCAAUUGGUCCACAGGGAGAGAGCAGCGAUCUUAUGGAGGAACCCACGCCAGACCCUGCCUCAAGCAGGCUUCCAGCUGUUGUCAAUUACUGCCACUUUAACGGCGCGUUAAACACACAAUGGCCAAUGAGGCGCUGCCACCCGAGUCACUAUUUAACUGCAACACGGCCAUUAGCUGAUCCUGAGGGCCCGGCGCCUGCUGCUUUACCUAGCGAGGCCCAAUUUAAUGAAAUUAAAGCUCAACUCCCUUUAAUAGCCAGGUUCUCCGUCAUAAAUUCAUUAGCCGCUGAUGAGUAUCUCCACGUUACGUUUUAACGCGAGAUUUAAUGAACACCAUCAAGGGUUUAAGGAGCUCGUCUAAUUAGGGAGGGUUUUUAAUAGACAAAUAAAGACGGGAUGAUUGCUGCGGGAGCUCACGUUUUACCGGGGGUUGCAUCCGGAGGGUUUCUCCUCGUUUUUGUCGCGUUCAGAAAUCAGCCUACGCCAAUUACUUUGGGUAACGUAAUGAGCGCCGCUGUUGACUCAGAUUUCUCUCCUGAUUCAGACCAGACAACCUUUUCCCUGAAGAAAGCAAUAUUAUGGAUAGAGGACUCAAGUUUUUGCUGGGAACAAAGCUGUUUGGACUCUCAUUCUGAUGGCACCCAUUCACUGCAGAG